rnacentral:rRNA from 1 species
UAAUGAAUGACUCUCGGCAACGGAUAUCUCGGCUCUUGCAUCGAUGAAGRACGCAGCGAAAUGCGAUACUUGGUGUGAAUUGCAGAAUCCCGUGAACCAUCGAGUCUUGAACGCAAGUUGCGCCUGAAGCCAUUAGGUUGAGGGCACGUCUGCCUGGGUGUCACA